GCCCAGCAGCCAGAUCCCCCUCCUCUCUUCAGUCUCUCAGACUGAAGAGAGAAGGCCAGAACUUAAGUCUGAAUUUGGACAGGCACAUGUGCAAAAUCCAUUCGUAAAUCCAAGAGUCCUGCUGGACUUCCACUGAAGUGCAAUCAAAGCGAUGUCAGAAUUGUGAAACAAUUAUACAAUAGAACAGAGGAAACCUAUUCAUCUCUCAUCUGAAAUAAAAGCAACGUGGCUCAAUCUUUCAUCCACAUAAGUGCCUCUCCCUGUUUUCAGAAAAAGUAGCAUAAAACCAGCAUUUUUUAAAAUCCGGAAAUACCUCGAGAUAAGGUAGAAUUUGCAGGACCAAGCCCGACUUCUGUGUGACAUGGGUCCAAGAAUCUCAGCUGGACAUCGGGGUCGUGUUAUGGUUGGUCAUGGUUCCAGCAUAACACAUCAAACCAGAACAGAAGAAAAACUCACUUAAAACCAGCAUUUUAAAAACCUGGAAACACAUCCGGACAAGCUAGAAUUUGGAAGACAAAGCCCAAUUUGUGUGUGUGGUGCUUCCAAAGAUCUUGAAUGGACUUCAAGUAAGGAGAUUGUAUGGCCAAUUUGAUCGCAAUGCAUUUCCUUUGGAAACCAAUGCAGGACAAAGCACCUCAGAAUAAACGAAUGCAGCACAGAGCAGGAAGUAGGUGUCAGAGCUGAGCCAUACGGAGGCCCUAAAUAGGAACCAAUAAAGACAAUAACUGCCCAGGCGGAACUCCAGCCUGAGCAAUCCCAGCCUGAACAUACCCCUCCCUACUGGGAAGAGCCAAAGGUGUAUCCAUCACUUAUCCCAUUCGUGGCAGCUCUCAUGAGAGUUUGCAAGCGAGCUGCUGGCAGGUGGGGAUGAAAGCGGUGUCAGCGGUGGACAGGCUGGC